UAAGGUUCCUUCUGGGUCUUGGACAAGGUCCAUGCCAGCAAGGGGCCCUGAAGCUUAAAUUUUAUUAAAUAGUUUUUACAUAGUAAAUCCACCUUUGUGUGCCUAGUAUAGGAACUCCCUGUCUCAUACUCUCCAAGGGGUGGGGCCCCUUCAUUCUUUUGCUAGGGUGAGGCAGGGACAGUCUCCCAGGGACACCGAAGUUGGAGAGGAGAUGGCGGGGCUCUAAACUUACUCAGAAACAGCUUUCAACCAGUUCUUCUGAUCCGAGAGCUCGGCUUCACCCCACUUCUGGAAGUACCCAGUGCCACCGAUUACUGACCCUUUGAGGAUUCUGUGAUGCUUCAUGCCCAGCGCAGAGCCUAACACGGGGCUUGAAUUCACAACCUUGAGAUCAAGACCUGAGCAAGAGUCGAUGCUUAACUGACUGAGCCACCCAGGAGCCCCUCAAAGGUAUUUCUAACUGCAAGUUGUGGUCAAAUAGUUUUGGAAGCCACUGUCCAAGUUAGCCCCCUGGCUCCAUUCUUCCUCUUGCCUGAAGUACAGACUGUUGCCAUAUUAAUCUGAUUAACUCACUGGUUUCCCCAUGCCACUUCCUUGCUCAAAACCUUCAAAUUUCAAAAGCUUAAGCUCAAUGUCAGUCCCUCAGCAUGGCACUCAGAGUACUGACAGUGGGGCCCCAACUGCCAUCAACGAAGCCUCUACCCAAAUCACUACUUGCUAAACCCAAGUUGGUCUCCUGACCGUCCACCCCAAAUACUCUUGAUGCAUUCCGUCUCCACACACCUUUUCCACACUAUUCUUCUAAUGUGGACCCCUCGCCCCCCACUGUAAAAAAUCACAUCCUCUGAAAUCUUUCUUGACAAUGCCACACCAACAUUUAUUGGCUGUCAUUCCUAUGAAUCCCGGGCACUUUCCAGACACUGGCUGAAGAUAAGUAUCGAUUCUCACAGCCUUCUGACUGUCUACCAGUAUUAAGUAUCAGCACAGGCCCUAGUACAUUAUAAAUGUUCAAUGAGCAUUAAAUCAACAAAAAUUUUAUUGAGCAUUAUCUGUGUGCAACAUGUUAUCCUGGGUCCUGUUUAAUGGGCUAGCUACCAAAAUAGUGGGUUCGGGGAAGCAACAGCUUAACUGCCAACUCCAAAGCCACUUCAACACACGUACAUCAAGAGUACACAGAAGAAAACAUCUUUGAUGAAGAAGCUGUGGGACUCAAGAUACUUGCCUCUUUCCAACUAUUCCCAAAUCUGGAAAGAGCCCCUUCCCCUCUCAUUACAAACAGCUGGAACAAGAGUGAAAUGUUUUACAUUUGUGCCCAAAGCAACGUCAAAUACAGGGUCUCACAGACUCUUCAAGGGGGUCCCUGCCUUCUGGGCAUGACCAUGCUCGGUAUAGAAGAAAAAAAACCUGGGGGGAGUCUGGCCUGUCCGAAGUGAGUGGGAGGGCCACCCAAGGCGGGGAGGCCUCAGAGUACCACAAAGCUGACAUGGUCCAGAACACCUGGAGGUCUGCAGGACACAGGACUUCCUCUUCACUUUACAUGUGAAAACUGACAACUUCCUGUAAUUCACUACCGACCUGGUAGUGUUCAUACAGACCAGCAAAGUAAAAUAGCGUCCUUUGGGACCCAAUCAGCUUGGGAAUGGUCUUCCACUUUUCAAGCACAGAGAAUACUCAGAUUUUAGUUCUAGCUCUCCCAGGUACUCCGUGAGUGAAUUCUAAUAACUUGUCAAAGGGAGAUAAUAAGACCCGAACUGCAUACUGCUAAGGGUAGAUGUGAGGACGAAAUCAGAUAAUGGAUGGGAAGGUAACUUGAAAAGGUAAAAGCACUAUACGAAUGCAUGAUAGCAAGAGUAAUACUAGAGGGAAAAGAGAUUCCACUGAGAACAUGUUUGAAACAGAAUGGAUGGUUCAGACUAACCCAGCAGUUUACCUUCUUUCCUUUAUAGUCCGUUAAUUUCAUUUAACAAUUACUGACUAGGUACUUACUAUGUGCAAACAGUGUGCAUACACAAACGUGAAGAACUUGUAGAUUCUGUCGCCACGGAGUCUGUGUGGGAGAGGAACACGUUUUUGGUCCCUGGAAGGACGUGGAAGUGCUACAGGAGUUCUAUGCAAGUUCGGAAGAGGAUAGUUUGGGGAGGGGGUGGAGAGGAGAGGGGAGAGAACAAUCAGAGACAGCCUCAGGGAGGCGCUGAGGCCACUUCUUCCCUCUUUGAUUUAACAACAGCACGCUUAGAGGCUCUUCAUUUGAGGAAGUGGCUUAUAGGUUCUGCACAUUUUUAUCUGAAAACUUUUCCUGAGCUGAGGCAAGCCAGGAAAUGGAAAAAAAAAGUGCUCAUUCAUACAUUCAGUAAACAUGCACUGAUUGCUGGGAAUACUACUAGGGAUAUAGUGAUGACCAAGCCACAGUCCCUUUCUCAGUAACUUGCAGACUAGGGGGUCACUGACAAGUAAACCAACGAUUCAAGUACAGAUACUAAUGAGGGUCAGAGCAAGGGGACCUGGCUCAGUUUAGAGGGGUGUGGGGGGCUGUUCAGGGGAGACCCUCAGAAGAGGCAAAGCCUGCCCUUAUUCUGGAAGAAUGAGUGCACCUUGGCCUGGUGGAUGAGGCGGCGAGGGGUGGGAGCAAAGGGCAUUGCAGCAGAGGAACAAUGCAUAUAGAGGGGCAGAGGCACGAGGGCCAGGGAAAGCUGAGACACAGGAGUAACGUGGACAGCCAGAUCCAGAAAGGCCUUAUAAGUUAUGGCCCAGAGUCAGGCCUUUAUCCUGAAGAUGAUGGGGAGGGCAUAUAGGGUGAGAACAUGCGGGGGGGCAGGUCCCAAGGAAUACCAAUAUUUAAGGGGCAGACAGAGGUAGAAGAGCCCAGAAGAGUCAGAAAACAAUCAUAUUUGCAUAGUCUCCAUUUUUUUCACAAUAGGCUUGGGUGGCAGCGUCAGCUUGGAUUAUCCAUUCCAUGUCAGAGGUGGAGAAAACAAGACCGAGGAAGGUCAAAUGCCUGACCAGGCCACACUGUGAAGGAGGGAACCAGAACCUGAACUCAGCCCUCUACCUCCCAGCCACAUUUAUCUGCACUGACUCUAAUUUCCUUCAUUCUGAGUCAAACCUCUGGAUCCCUAGUAUAGGAAGAUUUCCUCCAGGACUACUUUUUCCCUUGACAUUGAACCCAAAGAGCAUCAAGGCAUGUGGUUUCAGGGAAGGCUAUAACCCCUGAAGACAGCGAAGCCAGGUAAAUAAGCCAGAUUCUUCUUAAUUCUGUUGAAUUCUCCCUCCAUACAAUAAUAAAGACACACACACAUAAGAAGAGAGAGGAGACCAGCAGAAGGAGAGAAGAGGGAAGCACCUGACUUAAGCCCAAAUGGUGAAUCAGUGAUCUGACAUAUGAACAUAAAAUGCCUCCUUCCUCGCAGGGCACACCACUGGACAGCCUGGCUUAAAGACACGUGGGUGGUCGGUGGGUGAAUGCAUGGGUAGAUGAACAGGAAGGCAGCAGGUACCCACAAAACAAACGGGGUGGGCGGGCUGCAUGCACAGAGGAAGCGGGGAACAAAGACCUCUUACUCUUCAUGCAAAAUCCACAGUGUGCAAAGGGCAUCAAUAUUGGACAUUUCUCACUGUGACAUUUUGAAAGCCUGGCCUAGCCCAGAACAAUGGUUACCCUCUGGGGACCAGGGGCUGAGUGCCCCUAGGCCUUAUUCAAUGAUGGCUUGGCAUACCCCAUGUGCUUGGUGAACUCGACCUUGGGCAUCAGCCUCCCAUGAUGGCUCUACGUCACUCUGGUCUCUUCCCCCACUGAGAAUUCCAGUCUUGGAUGAAUGGAUGGAUUCAUUCUGGGAGCAGGAAAACCACUCCAGGAGUGAAUCAGAAGGACCCAGCCCUGGUCCCUUUGCCAGCCAUUGAGCCAGGAACUGAGUGUGAUUGUGUGCCCAGGCGCCGGUGCUGUUCCCCUCUCAGGGAGAUAGGGUCAGGGUCCACGUAAGAGAUGACGUAGUCGCCCUCUAAAGAAGAAGAAAAAGGAAUCUCAGCUUUGAGGGACAAAGCCGCCCUUUUGGUUCUGACCCUCAGUCCAAGGAGGUGCCAAGCUGCACAUGUACUAAUAAGUUAAUUCUACAGGAUAAAAGUCGCAGCUUUUGCUGAACAGUUAGUUGUCAAUUUCAAUUCUCUGCAGCCUGACAGACCUCAGGAAAUAGGCUACUACUUUUUCAGAAAAAAGCUUCUUCAUGAUGGGUGGGAACAGCACGCCUCAGAUCACCAAGAGAAUAUUCUACUCUGGUCUGGGCUCUGUUCUCCUCCCGAUUUGUGAAGAAAAGGUCAAUUUAUUUUUAAAUUUGUAAAUGCUAAUGUAAGCAAUAUAAAGCAUCUGAACUUCCUGCUUUCUUACCUUGAAAAAUUAAGCAAGAGAACUCCAACGAUUCAAGGUGCAGUAGGCAAGAGGACAUCUGUAUCACGAGGCUGGGAGACCCAGGCUGACAUUUUAAGGAAGUAAUUCCUCUAGGAAAGGGAACUGAAGGAUUGCCACUUUGCCCAUCGUUAACUAGGUUAUAACAAGAUGGGAAAGUUAGCUAACUUUCAAGGCUCUAGCCCCGUAUCGGCCUCCUGGAGCUAAGGUGGAGGGAAAAGGAACAGUUCCUACCGGGGCUUAUUAGGGCACUGCUCCAGGCUGCCCUCGUGUGCAGGCACCACCUGUCUAACGUUUGUCCAUCAAUCUUUGUCUAAGAAACAGGAGGGAGGAGGGGACAGAAAUGGUUUAAAUUUUGUAUUACAGAAUUGUCCUGAACACUGACUGACAUUAGCUGCUUGUCGCCAGAGCUUAGUCUCCACUAAUGGUCAAAUGUGAGCCUGUUAAGUGCCUUCCUGAAGGAUACUCUACUAUCUUCAUUCGUUCAUGACUAGUUAUCACACAUUUACUUUGUGUAAAGAAACAGCUAGACUAUGAGGACAGAGUGGCAAACAUGUUCCCGAUGCUAAUGGACCCUGGAUUCCAAAAGGUUUGAUUCAUCUUGUACAUCCCCGGGGGGGUGGGGUCAAUGUAUUCAGACAAGCAAACUACGGCUGGAUCCUCUGAGGUUUCGCAUUAUGGAUAUGCAGGUCCUUGGGCCUGAAGGUAAGGCCCUUUGGGCAAACUGAGUCUUACAAAAUAAAUCAACCAUUAAAUAUUCUGAAGUAUCUACCAUGAACCUAGCACAUAUAGCAACAUACCUUCCAACUCUGGAGUCGUGACUCUACAUCUCUGAGACUCCUAGCGUCUUUUCUCAUGGCCUGUUAGUCCCCAUAAUGUUUAAGCUUACCAACCGCUAUUUUCAAGAGAAAGCAGUGAGUGGGUAAUGGCCCUGGAAAUGAUUAAAACUAGUCCAAUCCCACACUGGGAGUGUGGGUGUGGGUGUUCAAUUCUGGACCUUUCCAAAAGAGAAGCAAGUUUUGUCCUUUGAAGACUGUUAAGUGGUGCAAAGGCUAGUCAUCUGAAAGCGAGUGGCUGUUUGAUCAGUGAACUGGGCCCAGACUGCCAGUGAGGGCUACAGCUCUGGGGCCGCGGGAGCGGUGAAAAGAUGCCCACAGGGAGAAAGAAGGCAUUUACUCCACCUCAGCGGAUAUUUACAAGAGGAGGAGACGGGAAAGUUCCUCACUUCAAGCAGCUGGGAGAAGACGGGACGAGCUUGGAGGAGAAAGAGUCAGGAAACAGACGCAGGAUUCCAGGCCAAGGAGAUCCCCCGCCCCAUAUCCCGGUGAGUCCUGCCGACAGACGGAGCCUCCGGGAAAGCACCGGAGGAAGGGCCCUCGAACGACCCUGGGUGGAGGGUCCGUGUGGGCAAGGCAGGCAGCGGGGGCGAAGGGACUCAGGUGGGCGCGGGCAAGGCGCACGGCGGGCCUGGGGCUCCAGCGGCUGUGCUGUCCCGGCCUCACUCACCAGCUCAUGGUCCUGAACCUGGCCCUGCUGCCGGGGUCCUCGGCCGCUACAGGGUCCUCAGGGAUCACUUCCGGAUUCAGCCAGUCUCCAGGAAGUGACGUGAACCCCGCCCACUGUGCCCGGAAGAGGCGGGGGUGGGCGGGGCGCGGGGAGUUAACCCUUCCGCGGCGGCGGGCGUCCCGCGCACUUGCCCGGCUCGCGACCUGGGGUAUUGCCUCACGGGGCUUGGGGUUCAGCCUGUGCCGGCGGCGUGGGAACCCCCGGGUGCGUUUUCUGCCUGAGACACUGGCUUGUAAAAUUCUCAUUCACUUACUACACGUGCCUCUUAACCUUGUUAUUGCCUCAGUUUUUCUGUCUGUAAAGAGAUUUCUAAUCCA